rnacentral:rRNA from 1 species
GAUGAACGCUGGCGGCGUGCCUAAUACAUGCAAGUCGAGCGAACGGACGAGAAUCUUGCUUCUCUGAUGUUAGCGGCGGACGUGAGAGUAACACGUGGAUCCCCUACCUAUAAGACUGGUAUAACUUCGGGAAACCGGAUCUAAUACCGGAUAAUAUUUUGAACCGCAUGGUUCAAAAGUGAGAGACGGUCUUGCUGUCACGUAUCGCGGCAUCUGCGCUGCAUUAGCUAGUUGGUAAGGUAACGGGUUACCAAGGCAACGAGGCAUAGCCGACCUGAGAGGGUGGUCGGCCGCCUUGGAGCUGGACCAGGGACAAGACUCCUACGGGAGGCAGCAGACGGGAAUCUUACGCAAUGGUCGAAAGCCUGACGGAGCAACGCCGAGUGAGUGAUGAAGGUCUUCCGAUCGUAAAACUCUGUUACUAGGGAAGAACAGAUGUGGAAGUAACUGUGCACAGCGUGACGGUACCGAAUCAGAAAGCCACGGCUAACUACGUG